ensembl:lncRNA novel transcript
GCAGAGAUGGGAGGGACAGCACAGUGGCUUCUCAGAAUUGAAUAUGGUGUUAGACUUCUAAAAGAGCUGUGGUAGAGGGAGAAAACUGUCAAAGGAAAUCAGUAACUGUUAAAGGAAAAUACCUUAAACGUCCUGUUUUCAGGCUGACUAAUGCCUUAGGGGAGCAAAUGAGCAACAGAAACGAUAUGAGCAACUGCUGUUCUUUCAAAAUACCCAGGCAGAGGAACCGGCAGACGAUGGGCAGCAUCGAACAAACAACUGAGAUCCUGUUGUGCCUAUCACCUGUUGAAGUUGCCAGUCUUAAGGAAGGAAUCAAUUUCUUUCGCAAUAAGAGCACUGGCAAAGACUACGUCUUGUACAAGAAUAAGAGCCGACUGAGGGCAUGCAAGAAUAUGUGCAAGCACCAAGGAGGCCUGUUCAUAAAAGAUAUCGAGGAUUUAGCCGGAAGUUGUUGAAAUGGAUGAAAACAACGGACUUUUGCUUUUAGAACUGAAUCCUCCUAACCCUUGGGACUUACAGCCCAGAUCUCCUGAAGAGUUGGCUUUUGGAGAAGUACAGAUAACAUAUCUCACUCAUGCCUGCAUGGACCUCAAGUUAGGAGACAAGAGAAUGGUGUUUGACCCUUGGUUAAUCGGUCCUGCUUUUGCCCGUGGAUGGUGGUUGCUCCAUGAGCCUCCAUCUGAUUGGCUGGAGAGGCUGUGCCAGGCAGACCUCAUUUACAUCAGUCAUCUGCACUCAGACCACCUGAGUUACCCCACACUGAAAAAGCUUGCUGGGAGAAGACCAGAUAUUCCCAUUUAUGUUGGAAACACAGAAAGGCCUGUAUUUUGGAAUCUGAAUCAGAGCGGUGUCCAGUUGACUAAUAUCAAUGUCGUGCCAUUUGGAAUAUGGCAGCAGGUGGACAAAAAUCUUCGAUUCAUGAUCUUGAUGGACGGUGUUCAUCCUGAGAUGGACACUUGCAUUAUUGUGGAGUACAAAGGUCAUAAAAUACUCAAUAUAGUAGACUGCACCAGACCCAAUGGGGGAAGGCUGCCUAUGAAGGUUGCUCUAAUGAUGAGUGAUUUUGCUGGAGGAGCAUCAGGCUUUCCAAUGACUUUCAGUGGUGGAAAAUUUACGGCAGAGGAGACUCUAAUCUAAAUCCUGUCAUUUCAGAGGAAUGGAAAGCCCAAUUCAUUAAAACAGAAAGGAAGAAGCUCCUGAACUACAAGGCUCGGCUGGUGAAGAACCUGCAACCCCGAAUUUAUUGUCCCUUUGCUGGGUAUUUUGUGGAAUCUCACCCAUCAGACAAGUAUGGCUAGACACUUUGUACAUUUUUACAUACAACUUAACGUAUGGUGGAAUGAGCGACUUUGCUGUGAAAGCAGUGUGACAUGAGAAGGAAAGUGAUUAGUAGGUGUCUGGAACUUUUUAACAAGCUGCUGGAGAACCCAGAGCAUGAAUAAAAGUUACACUUGGCAGCCAGGAACUCUUUCAGGAGAUAAAAUAACAGAUAGAUAUUCUCCGAAAGGAUCCCAGGAAAGAGGAUGGCAACUGCCAUUUAUUAUGUGAAGUGAACUGGGGACUUUUAACUAAGCCAUCUAAGUUAAUCUCCCAAUAGCACUAUGCGUAGGAAGGGGGUAUUGUUCCUUUUUUGCAGAUAAGGAAUCUGAAACUCAGAAAGGUCAAGGGACGUGCCCAAAGUCACCCUGUUGGAAACAUGAGUUGAGAAUGGAACCCUGGUAUGCUUAGUUCUAAAGCUCUUUUCUCUAUACCAUACUGCAUUCCAGAAUAGAAUUAUGUCUUUCUUCUCAUGUUUUAGGUAUCUAAUGUGAUUUUUCUUGCAGCAAUAUAACUUCUGCAAAUACUAUGAAUCAUCACCAAUGUAUGAAAUUGUUGAAAGAAAUAAAAGACCAUGAAUUUGA